rnacentral:lncRNA from 1 species
UUUCGAGGUAGGAGUCGACUCCUGUGAGGUAUGGUGCUGGGUGCAGAUGCAGUGUGGCUCUGGAUAGCACCUUAUGGACAGUUGUGUCCCCAAGGAAGGAUGAGAAUAGCUACUGAAGUCCUAAAGAGCAAGCCUAACUCAAGCCAUUGGCACACAGGCAUUAGACAGAAAGCUGGAAGUUGAAAUGGUGGAGUCCAACUUGCCUGGACCAGCUUAAUGGUUCUGCUGUUAGUGAUGAUUUUAAAAUUAAAGCAGAUGGGAAUCUCUCUGAGAAAGAAAAUGGAGAUUAAUCUUAAACUGAAACAGUAGUUGGGAAAUCUUUUAGAAAUCCACCUAUUACUACCUAUUGGUAAAGGAGAUUAAAUUUCUACAGGUAUGGAGAGUCGGCUUGACUACACUGUGUGGAGCAAGUUUUAAAGAAGCAAAGGACUCAGAAUUCAUGAUUGAAGAAAUGCAGGUUAGUUUAAACUUUGAAGGAAAUUUUUAAGGUGGCAAAAGGUUUUGGUGGCAUAUACACCUUAAUCUGUAGAUGGGAGUGAUUAGCUGUUUAAAAGUUAAAAUGUGACUGAGAAGGAAAUUGAGUAGGGCAAAUUUUAAAUGGGUAUUAUUUUUCAUCUUCAAACAGGCAGACCUGUUAUCCUAAACUAGGUGAGUCAGCUUUUGGUACAUGUGAUGAUUUUCAGUGUAACCAAUGAUGUAAUGAUUCUGCCAAAUGAAAUAUAAUGAUAUCACUGUAAAACCGUUCCAUUUUGAUUCUGAGGUUACUCUACUAACAAGCAUCACACAUUUGUAUUUUGCCCUGAUUAAUAUGUUGGCUUCGCUUUCAGGGUUUUUAAUGACCACAACAAGCAAGCAUGCAGCUUACUGCUUGAAAGGUGAGGAUUGGAAAUGUUGGGACUAUUAUAAUUGCAGAAUACAUGAUGAUCUCAAUCCAACUUGAACUCUCUCACUGAUUACUUGAUGACAAUAAAAUAUCUGAUAUUCUGCAUUCCCAUGUAGCAUUUUAAUUGAAGUCUGUAAAUGUGGCUAAAAGUCUUGUCUUAUUUUUUGAGACAGGGUCUUGCCUCACCCAAGCUAGAGUGCAGUGGCCUUUGAAGCUUACUACAGCCUCAAACUUCUGGGCUCAAGUGAUCCUCAGCCUCCCAGUGGUCUUUGUAGACUGCCUGAUGGAGUCUCAUGGCACAAGAAGAUUAAAACAGUGUCUCCAAUUUUAAUAAAUUUUUGCAAUCC